AAACAUCAUAUCAGGCUGUCAGUGGAGUUCACAGCACGUCAGUUUCAACAUAAACCAUGUUCUCUGUAGCUCUGCUGCUGCUGUUGGCAGCUGGAUGUGUGAAGUGUGAACAGUUGACACAGCCAGCCUCUGUGACUGUGCAGCCAGGUCAACGUCUGACCAUCACCUGUCAGGUCUCUUAUUCUCUCAGCAGCUACCACACAGCUUGGAUCAGACAGCCUGCAGGGAAAGGACUGGAGUGGAUUGGAAUGAAAUAUACUGGAGCUUCAUACUACAAAGAUUCACUGAAGAACAAGUUCAGUAUCGACUUAGAGACUUCCACUAACACAGUGACUCUAAAUGGACAGAAUGUGCAGCCUGAAGACACUGCUGUGUAUUACUGUGCCAGAGAGCCACAGUAACACAAACCAUCAGUAGACCUGAACAAAAACCCCUCAGAGCCUGAACACUUGUAACA